GCGAAUGCUGACAUAAGUAACGAUAAAGCGGGUGAAAAGCCCGCUCGCCGGAAGACCAAGGGUUCCUGUCCAACGUUAAUCGGGGCAGGGUGAGUCGACCCCUAAGGCGAGGCCGAAAGGCGUAGUCGAUGGGAAACAGGUUAAUAUUCCUGUACUUGGUGUUACUGCGAAGGGGGGACGGAGAAGGCUAUGUUGGCCGGGCGACGGUUGUCCCGGUUUAAGCGUGUAGGCUGGUUUUCCAGGCAAAUCCGGAAAAUCAAGGCUGAGGCGUGAUGACGAGGCACUACGGUGCUGAAGCAACAAAUGCCCUGCUUCCAGGAAAAGCCUCUAAGCAUCAGGUAACAUCAAAUCGUACCCCAAACCGACACAGGUGGUCAGGUAGAGAAUACCAAGGCGCUUGAGAGAACUCGGGUGAAGGAACUAGGCAAAAUGGUGCCGUAACUUCGGGAGAAGGCACGCUGAUAUGUAGGUGAAGUCCCUCGCGGAUGGAGCUGAAAUCAGUCGAAGAUACCAGCUGGCUGCAACUGUUUAUUAAAAACACAGCACUGUGCAAACACGAAAGUGGACGUAUACGGUGUGACGCCUGCCCGGUGCCGGAAGGUUAAUUGAUGGGGUCAGCGCAAGCGAAGCUCUUGAUCGAAGCCCCGGUAAACGGCGGCCGUAACUAUAACGGUCCUAAGGUAGCGAAAUUCCUUGUCGGGUAAGUUCCGACCUGCACGAAUGGCGUAAUGAUGGCCAGGCUGUCUCCACCCGAGACUCAGUGAAAUUGAACUCGCUGUGAAGAUGCAGUGUACCCGCGGCAAGACGGAAAGACCCCGUGAACCUUUACUAUAGCUUGACACUGAACAUUGAGCCUUGAUGUGUAGGAUAGGUGGGAGGCUUUGAAGUGUGGACGCCAGUCUGCAUGGAGCCGGCCUUGAAAUACCACCCUUUAAUGUUUGAUGUUCUAACGUUGACCCGUGAUCCGGGUUGCGGACAGUGUCUGGUGGGUAGUUUGACUGGGGCGGUCUCCUCCUAAAGAGUAACGGAGGAGCACGAAGGUUGGCUAAUCCUGGUCGGACAUCAGGAGGUUAGUGCAAUGGCAUAAGCCAGCUUGACUGCGAGCGUGACGGCGCGAGCAGGUGCGAAAGCAGGUCAUAGUGAUCCGGUGGUUCUGAAUGGAAGGGCCAUCGCUCAACGGAUAAAAGGUACUCCGGGGAUAACAGGCUGAUACCGCCCAAGAGUUCAUAUCGACGGCGGUGUUUGGCACCUCGAUGUCGGCUCAUCACAUCCUGGGGCUGAAGUAGGUCCCAAGGGUAUGGCUGUUCGCCAUUUAAAGUGGUACGCGAGCUGGGUUUAGAACGUCGUGAGACAGUUCGGUCCCUAUCUGCCGUGGGCGCUGGAGAACUGAGGGGGGCUGCUCCUAGUACGAGAGGACCGGAGUGGACGCAUCACUGGUGUUCGGGUUGUCAUGCCAAUGGCACUGCCCGGUAGCUAAAUGCGGAAGAGAUAAGUGCUGAAAGCAUCUAAGCACGAAACUUGCCCCGAGAUGAGUUCUCCCUGACUCCUUGAGAGUCCUGAAGGAACGUUGAAGACGACGACGUUGAUAGGCCGGGUGUGUAAGCGCAGCGAUGCGUUGAGCUAACCGGUACUAAUGAACCGUGAGG
rnacentral:rRNA from 1 species